GAUGGGAGAGAAUGCUCCCAGGCCUCCACUGACUCGGACACAUAAAGUCAGAGAUGUGAGCCCAGACCAGUGUCUCUACCAUGCCAAUUCACGAUGCUGAAUGAGGUUUCUCUGCCUUCAUCUACUGCUUCAGUUUGUUUGACAUCCUCAUGAGCUGGGCCUUUGGAUUAAGAAGCUGCUGUUAUGCUUCAGUUUUUCAGAAUGCAUGGUACUUCACAUCCUCCACAUUCAUGUGUAUAUGGAACACUGAAAACUAGAAAGCUCUCCUACCACAAAAUGUAUCUGUACACAAUACUAACAGCUGAGAGGCACCUUGAGGAAGUGAGCAUCAUGAAAAAGAGUUAACCAACAAAAGCGAUCAUGUGUCUUUUGUGGUGGUGCCAGAAACAGGAGAGAGCCAGGUGUAUUAUCCACAGCCCCAUUCAUCAUUUCAGAGAAGUGGAC
rnacentral:lncRNA from 1 species